rnacentral:rRNA from 1 species
CUUAUGCAUGCAGUCGAACGAUGAGGCCCUACGGGGUACAUCAGUGGCAGACGGGUGAGUAACACGUAGGUAACCUGCCCUCGAGACGGGGAUAACGGCUGGAAACGGUCGCUAAGACCCGAUAUAGUCUGACCUUCGGGAGAAGGUGAGAGGAAAGGCUUCGGUGCUCGGGGAGGGGCCUGCGGCCCAUCAGCUAGUUGGAGAGGUAACGGCUCCCCAAGGCAAUGACGGGUAGGGGGUGUGAGAGCAUGUGCCCCCACACUGUGACUGAGACACGGCCCAGACUCCUACGGGAGGCAGCAGCAGGGAAAUAUUGCGCAAUGGACGGAAGUCUGACGCAGCGACGCCGCGUGAAUGAUGAAGGCCUUCCGGGUUGUAAAAUCCUUUUCCGGGCGAUGAGGAAGGACACUAGCCUGGGAAUAAGCGUCGGCUAAACUACGUGCCAACAGCCGGGGUAAGACGUAGGACGCGAGCGUCAUCCGGAUAUACUGGGCGUAAAGGCGCUUGCAGGCGGGCCAGGUAAGUCGGGUUGUGAAAGCCCCCGUGCUCAACGCGGGGAAGGCCAAGCGGAAACUGCGUGACUUGAGGGCGGAAGAGGGGAGUGGAAUUCCCGGUGUAGCGGUAAAAUGCGCAGAAUAUCGGGAAGAACACCAGUGGCGAAGGCGGCUCCCUGGACCGCACCUGACGCUCAGAGGCGAAAGCUAGGGGAGCGAACAGGAUUAGAGACCCUGGUAGUCCUAGGCCCUAAACGCUUGGAUGCUAGGUGUAGGGCUGAUGAGGCUCUGUGCCGGAGCGAACGCGAUAAGCAUCCCGCCUGGGGACUACGGCCGCAAGGCUAAAACUCAAACGAAUGGACGGGGACCCGCACAAGCANCGGAGCGUGUGGUUUAAUUCGAUGCUACACGAAGAACCUUACCUGGGUUUGACAUGCUGGUGGUACCGAACCGAAAGGGGAGGGACCCUUCGGGGAGCCAACACAGGUGCUGCAUGGCUGUCGUCAGCUCGUGCCGUGAGGUGUCGGGUUAAGUCCCGUAACGAGCGCAACCCUUGCUCUUAGUUAUACGUGUCUAAGGGGACUGCCGGCGACAAGCCGGAGGAAGGUGGGGAUGACGUCAAGUCAGCAUGGCCUUGAUAUCCAGGGCUACACACACGCUACAAUGGCCGGUACAAAGGGCAGCCAAGCCGCGAGGUGGAGCGAAUCCCAGCAAAGCCGGUCCCAGUUCGGAUUGCAGGCUGCAACCCGCCUGCAUGAAGUUGGAGUUGCUAGUAACCGCGCGUCAGCCAUAGUGCGGUGAAUACGUACCCGGGUCUUGUACACACCGCCCGUCACGUCAUGGGAGUUGGCAACGCCUGACAGCGGUAGCCUAACCGAAAGG